UUUUUUAUUUUGGGAUGCUUAUGAAGUUUGGGGCUGCUGGUCAGAGACUGAGACAGAGAACACUGCCUGAGAUAGAGAAGUUUCACAAGCUAAAUCUGGCAAGUUCUAGUUCUUACUGAAAGUGAAAUAAAAAACAUAAGUAUCAGUUGAUUCUAACCUGGAUUUUGGAUUUCCUAAAACAAGUGUGAUUUAGAAAUGAAUAGUUUUAUGCAAGGAGAAAAAGGAAAAAUAAAUUAAGAUUGAGAUAAGAAAGGAUAAACAUGAGAAAGAAAAAAGCAAGACUGGUGAGAGCCUAUGAGGGGAGGAAGUCUCAGAAAAGAAAGAAAAAAAAUGGAAAGGUUCAUUGGAAAGGAUAACUAGAGGUUGAGUAAGGGGUAGAAAAAUAAAAAAAAAAAAAAGAAUUAAAUUACCUAAAAAAUAAAAAACAACAAACCUAAGCCAAGUAUUAAAGGGCAUCCUGUUAUCAUACUGAUUGUAAAUCUCAGAUAAUUGUUAUAUACUCUGCUGAAUGAGAUAAUGAGUUCUUGGAGAGUAGAACUGGAGUGUCUAUGUGCAGGUGUGUGUAUGUGUGUAAAUGGGUGCACACACAGUUGUGUACGUUUAUGCUUGCAUGUAUGUGCCUAUGUGUUUCCCUCUCUGUAUCCUCAGCAUUUCGGCAAAUCACUUGACAAACAGUAAGUGCUUAAUAAAUGCUUGUUUAAUGAGUGACUUUUGGUUAGCCAUUCAUAGUUACUUAAUUUGUUCUGAUUUUCAAAUCAUAAGAAGGAAUAUUCUAAAUGAGAAAACUGGAGCAUCCACUAAUCCAGAAAUAAUCCUCUGCUCUAGAGCAUUAGUAGAAAGAGAAUAUGACAGUGGAGGCUAGAUGAAAUCAAAUCUCUUUCUAGAUGUGUCCCACUUCCCUUUUAGUUUCUUAGAAACAGAGCUCCUGGGACACCGAAGAAAAGUCUGGCACUUGAGUAAAGGAGCAGUACAACAAAGCAUCACUUUUACUAAUAGGUUUUUCUCAUAUUCAGGCCCUGAAGGAUUGCAAAGUAUGCUUCCAGCAGAUGGCGGCGUUUUGCAUACAUAAUAAAGAUAUUCACAUCUCCAGAGUUUUGUAAUUACCUUAGAAUUAAGGAGAAGGAAAAAAGAAAAAAAAAAAAAGAGGAGUAAAAUCCUUCUGCUUCCUCUCCUUUUUAGUUCCAUUAUCAUAAUCUGUAUCCCAUUUCAAUUUUCAUUAUUCUCAGAAGAGUACAACAGACCGAUAGGCAAUGAGUAGUCUGUAUUGGAGAGACAAUUUAAUUGCUCUGCUAAAAAAGAAAUUCAGCUCACACAAAACAGGGCCAACCUUUUCCAUUUGAUCUUACAGCUCAAAUGUCAAAUGUGCCAUACAUUUUAUGUGAUUCGAAAGAGUAUAAAUGGAAACAAAGAUUUUAGACAUUCCAUUCUGCCUCACUACAAUUUUAUUCAUUAAAAAAAAUUUCCUCAGUGGCAUUUAACAAACUUAAAACAUAACAAUCCUCAGGAAUAUGUCAAGGUCUCAACAGACUACUCCAGUGUAUGUGGAGCUGGUUGACUGUUUUUAGUUGAAUCCAUUGAAGGUGUUGUGUAUUAAAUUGCUGGAAGCCUUUCAGAAUCCUGGCUUAGAGAGUACAUGGAAAAUAAAUAGAGUGGCUACUGUCAGUGCCUUCAUUUGCAUACUAAUGCUGAAAAUUCUGUCAGUUUCAUAGAAAUGAUAGUGAUUGAGGUCUAAGAAUGAAAGUGAGUGGUUUGGAUGAACACAGGGGUCACCAGAAUUUUCUCUGCUUGCAUGCCAAUAUUUCAAAUGAUUUUCUCUGCAGCAUAAGCUGGGUCCUUCACUGUUUUGUGUCCUCUGAGGCAGUAUUAUGAAUGUCUGUACAGGGCUAAAGAAGAGGAUGUUUUGAAUUCUCAUCCAACAAUUUUGUUCAGAGACAAUAAUUAUCUGCCAAAAUUUCAAAGCCCGACAGCUUGAGAUCUCUGUCUCUUUUCCUUUUGGUUUCAUUCCUUUAAAAAAUCAAAUUAAAAAAUAUGAACAUUUUUGUUCAAGAAAGCCAAGUUAUGAGCAAUAGUUUACCAAGAAAUGGACAGAUUUUUUUCAUUAUAUUUUACUUGCCAAAAAGGAUUUUGCUACCCAUAAAAUCUACAGUUCAGCAGAGAGAUAUUAUUAGUUCUGUCAUGAAUGUGAAAGAACACUGGGAAACCUUAAGAUAAUUUUUCAGAUGAUGUCAUGCUCAGUCUGGGGAUUGGUAUGGUAGAAAAUCUAAAACAUGGUCUAUUUAAAAAUACUUGGACAUUAAAUAGGAGCAUAAUUUGAACCAAUACCUCAGACACAAAAUGGUUGGCUCUAGGAAGAGGUCUCAGAAAAACCAAAAUGAUGCCUAUAUGUAUUCUUUUAAUGUCCCUUUAUUCUUAAUGGCCAUCUAGAACAUAAGCACCAUGAAGGCAAUGCUCUGCUGUAGCCACAGCACCUAGAAUAGUGUCUGGCAUAUAGUGAGAGUUUAAUAAAGAGUUAUUGGAUAAAGGAAUGGAUUAAUUACUAAAACCUCAUUUGGAAAGAGAUUCAGUUUUAUGAACACAUGGUAUUAAUGGGCAUCAAAUAGGCAAUUCCCCUAUGUUUUUAUUUAGCUACAACCAUUCUCCAUUCUCCAAGCCUCUGUUUCAUUUUGUCAACUGCCUAUAGACCUGUUAGUCCCUGUAACAAAGCUGCAUUAGCAUGUCCCCAAAUAAACUCAUCAUUUCUCCUUUUGGGAACAUUGCCCUCCUAUAGUUAAUAUAAAUAAAUAUCCUUUCUUCAUUAUUUUUCAAUACUGUGAAUAUUUUUAGACUUUUAAAAAAUAUUUCAUUUUUUUAUUUUGAGAGAGACAGUGUGCACGAGCAGGGGGAGGGGAAGAGGGAGAGAGAGAGAAAAAAAAAGUCUCAAGCAGACUCUGCUCUGAGCAUAGACACUGACAUGAGGCUGGAUGUCACAACACUGAGAUCUUGACCUGAGCCAAAAUACAGAGUCAGAUGCUCAAUGGACAGCUACCCAGGUGCCCCUUCGCUUUAACUUUUGGGGUUAUAAUACCCAAUAAUUCUGUUAUGCUGUCUCCCCUUGCCCUGGCCCUGACUCUGUUCCUUCUCUUGUUCAGGGUCUAAUUUCUACUUCUUUAGACCAGAAUUAUAUACAAUUCUUAAUUGAUCAACUUUCCUCAAACUUCUUUCUCUUCCAAUCCAUCCUAUAUAAGAAAAAUAGAUGUGUGUUUAUACAUUCAAUUGCCUCAUUUACUUUCCUUCUUUAAACUCUAGUAGUCUACAAAUUUCUAACUGGAUUCCUUAUUAUGUUAUCUAAGGCCUCAAAACAAGUUUUGAGGCAUAUCUCCAACUAUUCUAGGCACAUACUUUGAUUUCCAAUGAGGCUCAUUCUUUGAUACUCUAUGAACACAAUGUGCUAGGUUUUCUUCCCUCCAUUCCUUUGCUUAUGUGCUCUCCUUUUCCUGAACACCCUUCUCUACUUUGUUAUGCUUCUUAAACUGUAAUGAACUGCUUAAGCUCAGUGGCCUUCAUCCAAAUGUCCACUUCAACAUAAAGCAUCUCAGAAGGUCAGGAUCAGAGGUUUCUCUUCCCUUUGUUGCAUAGUGUGUGUGUGUAUAUAUAUAUAUAUAUAUAUAUAUAUAUAUAUAUAUAUAUACACUAUGCAGUGUAGCUCUGUGAUAUAUUUAAUAGGGGAAGUAUAUGUAUGCUUCUCCUAUUAAAUAUACCACAUAUUGCCUCACAUUAUAGAGUUAUGCAUUA
rnacentral:lncRNA from 1 species